CAGCAGCCGCGGGAAUACGUAGGUGGCGAGCGUUAUCCGGAAUGAUUGGGCGUAAAGGGAGCGCAGGUGGGACGGUAAGUCCUUCUUAAAAGCGUGGGGCUCAGCCCCAUGAAGGGAAGGAAACUAUCGAUCUUGAGUGCCGGAGAGGAAAGCGGAAUUCCCAGUGUAGCGGUGAAAUGCGUAGAUAUUGGGAAGAACACCAGUGGCGAAGGCGGCUUUCUGGACGGCAACUGACACUGAGGCUCGAAAGCCAGGGGAGCGAACGGGAUUAGAUACCCCAGUAGUCCCUGUCUCUUAUACA
rnacentral:rRNA from 1 species